UACAGAGGGUGCGAGCGUUAAUCGGAAUUACUGGGCGUAAAGCGUGCGUAGACGGCUAUCUAAGUCGGGUGUGAAAGCCCCCGGGCUCAACCUGGGAAUUGCAUUCGAGACUGAAUAGCUAGGGUACGGUAGGAGGGAAGUGGGAAUUUCCGGUGUAGCGGUGAAAUGCGUAGAUAUCGGAAGGAACAUCAAGUGGCGAAAGCGACUUCCAUGGACCAGU
rnacentral:rRNA from 1 species